rnacentral:rRNA from 1 species
CGGAGAGGGAGCCUCAGAGGAGGCUGCCAAGGCCCAGGGACCCAG